ACCAAAAUUGGUUAAAAUACGCCAAGCGUGAAAUUUUAUGUCAAGAGCACCCAAAAAUGAGGAAAGGAAACGCAGCGUGCAACAAGAGCUGUCAAACGGGCCACGCGGAACAGAUCCGCCAUUUCGUUCCUAGCACCGUCGUGAACAGACGGAAAAAGUGCCGCUAAAAAAAUCGGGAAGUGGGGUUGCGUUCGCGGAUUUGCCGGAAAAAGCAGAAAUCCACUCCAGAGCGCGUGCCAGACGAGCCGGAAGGUACACCUUCAAUAGAUUUGGCCGAAGAAAAGAAAAAGAAACCUAUCGACGAGACAAGCCGGCCAGAAGAGGUGGACAGGAAAAAACAAAAAGAGCCGCACAACCACGCUGCGUAAGUCGUUCGCACUAGACCCGU